CCGGCGACCGGCGGACGGGUGCGUAACGCGUAUGUAACCUACCUUUGACAGGGGGAUAACAUCGAGAAAUUGGUACUAAUACCCCAUAACAUCACCGGAGGCAUCUUCGGUGGUUGAAAACUCAGGUGGUCAGAGAUGGACAUGCGUUGUAUUAGCUAGUUGGUGAGGUAACGGCUCACCAAGGCGACGAUACAUAGGGGGACUGAGAGGUCAACCCCCCACAUAGGUACUGAGACACGGACCAAACUCCUACGGAAGGCAGCAG
rnacentral:rRNA from 1 species